rnacentral:rRNA from 1 species
AGAACGAACGCUGGCGGCGUGGAUAAGACAUGCAAGUCGGGCGAGAUUUUUUUCUGUAGCAAUACAGGGAAACGUUUAGCGGCGAACGGGUGCUUAACACGUGGGCAACCUGCCGAGAAGUGGGGGAUAGCUCGCCGAAAGGCGAAUUAAUACCGCAUGUGAUUAGAGUGGACAUCCAUUCAAAAUCAAAGUCGGGGCAACCUGACGCUUCUUGAGGGGCCCGCGGCCUAUCAGCUAGUUGGUGAGGUAACGGCUCACCAAGGCUUUGACGGGUAGC